rnacentral:rRNA from 1 species
GACGAACGCUGGCGGCGUGCUUAACACAUGCAAGUCGAACGGUGAAGCGCCUUCCUUUUUGGUGGGUGUGGAUGAGUGGCGAACGGGUGAGUAACACGUGAGUAACCUGCCCCCUUCUUCUGGAUAACCGCAUGAAAGUGUUGCUAAUACGGGAUAUUCUGGGUCUGUCGCAUGAUGGGUCUGGGAAAGAUAUUGUUUCGGUGUGGGAUGGGCUCGCGGCCUAUCAGCUUGUUGGUGGGGUGAUGGCCUACCAAGGCGGUGACGGGUAGCCGGCCUGAGAGGGUGGACGGUCACACUGGGACUGAGACACGACCCAGACUCCUACGGGAGGCAGCAGUGGGGAAUAUUGCACAAUGGGCGCAAGCCUGAUGCAGCGACGCCGCGUGAGGGAUGGAGGCCUUCGGGUUGUGAACCUCUUUCGCCAGUGAAGCAGGCCUGCCUCGUUUGUGGGUGGGUUGACGGUAGCUGGAGAAGAAGCGCCGGCUAACUACGUG